UCAGUAUAAAAGUCCCCACCACUUCCAGCUCAGUCUCUUUUUCCCGAGAGUUUGUUCGGGGGUCUACUGAGAGACAAUGUCCCGGGAAGAGAGAGCCUCCUUGUCUUCUACCUUUGUCCUUGCCAAUCCCCCUCCCACCCCCGGGUGGAUUGGAGCUAGCCUGAAGAUUUUCUGGGGCUGGGAGCAAAAGGAUUACAUACUCAUAUUAUUACCAUUCUGUUUUCUUGUGUGUAUCGUGAGGAGGAGGACCAUAUGAAUAAGGCUGAAGAAUAGCAAAAGAGAUAGAAAAAUCUGAUAGAAGAAUCUUCAGGAUGUGUUAACCAUUUCAUCAAACAGAGAAGCUCUGGAAGAAUGAAUUCCUGAGAAGUAAAUAUUUCAAAUCCAUCUUUCAAGGGAAAUAUACUGAAUUGAUUAUUUUGUUUUCUGUUUGUAACAACCUCUGUCUUUUUUUUAUCAUAAUCUAUAUUAAAAAUGUAUUCUGUAUCAGUUUAAUUUCAUUGUGGUCUUAUUGACUUAGCACAAAGUACAUAAGAUGCACACUUAUAUUGUCCUUACUUUUAACAGAGCUGGAAUGUAUAACAAGAGAAAUGGAACAUUUUUUUUUUACUCUUUUUGCUAUAUUGUUCCUUUCAAAAAGCAGUAUUUCAUGCCUUAUUCCUUGCCUUAUUUCAUGCCUUUCUCCUUGCUGUAAUGCCUACAGAGGGAAAUGUAUGCCAGUUAUGCAAUGUGUUUGGUGCAUGCUGAAAAAGAUAUAUUGCAAAAAAGGGCACAUAGACCUUCCUGAAAUAAAAAGAUAAAUUCUGGUCUUUAACUAGACAAAAUCCAAGUAAUUUAAAAAUAGCUGCAGUGAGUUAUCAUUAUAGACACAAACAGUUAUUAUUCUUUUUAUAAAGAGUGCUAUUCAUUACCAGUUACAUUUACAAGCAACAUAUGAAAAUAUUCACCUCUUUGUUUGGUUUAAAACCUGUUAUGAACUCAUAUCAGUACCUGUCAGC